rnacentral:rRNA from 1 species
UGCAGAAUCCCGUGAACCAUCGAGUCUUUGAAGCAAGUUGCGCCCGAAGCCAUUAGGCCGAGGGCACGUCUGCCUGGGCGUCACACGUCGUUGCCCCCCCCCAACCCCCUCGGGAGUUGGGAUGGGACGGAUGAUGGCCUCCCGUGUGCUCAGUCACGCGGUUGGCAUAAAUACCAAGUCCUCGGCGACCAACGCCACGACAAUCGGUGGUUGUCAAACCUCGGUUUCCUGUCGUGCGCGUCUGUUGAUCGAGUGCUUUCUUAAACAAUGCGUGUCGAUCCGUCGAUGCUUUCAACGCGACCCCAGGUCAGGCGGGGUUACCCGCUGAAUUUAA